GAAACACACAUUACAAAAUUAAAUUAAAAAACAAAAAAGACUGAAAGCAUGGUUAGCAAAAGCGUCAAUUCUCUUGUCGUCUUUUCUCUCAUUUGUUUGCUUUUCAUUUCAGGAGAGGUGGAAGGGGAUCAAUGUUUGGGACUGUGCCGGAAUAUUCCCGACUGCGGAGAGGAGUGUGUGAGAAGAGGAUUCGUUCAAGGAGGAGUCUGCUCCGGAACCAAACCCAAUUACGAGACAUGCUGCUGCUACCCUCAACGCCAUCCCUGAUCCUUGUUUUCCUCCCCCAUUAAUAAAAUCAUCCCCAUUUGAACUGUUA